UGGGGAAUCUUCCGCAAUGGACGAAAGUCUGACGGAGCAACGCCGCGUGAGUGAUGAAGGAUUUCGGUCUGUAAAGCUCUGUUGUUUAUGACGAACGUGCAGUGUGUGAACAAUGCAUUGCAAUGACGGUAGUAAACGAGGAAGCCACGGCUAACUACGUGCCAGCAGCCGCGGUAAUACGUAGGUGGCGAGCGUUGUCCGGAAUUAUUGGGCGUAAAGAGCAUGUAGGCGGCUUAAUAAGUCGAGCGUGAAAAUGCGGGGCUCAACCCCGUAUGGCGCUGGAAACUGUUAGGCUUGAGUGCAGGAGAGGAAAGGGGAAUUGCCAGUGUAGCGGUGAAAUGCGUAGAUAUUGGGAGGAACACCAGUGGCGAAGGCGCCUUUCUGGACUGUGUCUGACGCUGAGAUGCGAAAGCCAGGGUAGCGAACGGG
rnacentral:rRNA from 1 species